AUUAGCGCCAAAGCACCCUUGAUGCACAAGACCUCAUUGAGUCUCUGAAACUAAGCAGGGUUAAGACUGAUUAGUGCUUGGAUGGGUGACCACAAGGGCUUGCUAGGUGCUGUAGGUU
rnacentral:rRNA from 1 species